rnacentral:rRNA from 1 species
UCUAAGUGGGUGGUAAACUCCAUCUAAGGCUAAAUAUAACCACGAGACCGAUAGCGAACAAGUACCGUGAGGGAAAGUUGAAAAGCACUUUGAAGAGAGAGUUCAAGAGUACGUGAAACCGUUCAGGGGUAAACCUGAGAAACCCAAAAGAUCGAUUUGGGAGAUUCAUCGUCAGCGGCUUUAGCUUACCUUUGGAUUUUGUGAUGCUGUGUCACUUCGGUAACACAGUACACUGCCAUCGGAUAUGUCUAAAGUUGUCGGCGUGCACUUCUCCCUUAGUAGAACGUCGUGACCCGCUGGUUAUCGGUUUACGGUGCGAGUGGUCGCCUGUCUCAUAGCAUUCACGUGCUUAUGUGGCAGACCCUUGCUUACCGGACCUAUUGACCGGCGGUAAACACAUGGUACUGGGCCGCAUAUAACAUGCGUUCAGACCCAUCACAAGUGAGAUCAGUGUCCCGGAGGUGCGGACUUAGUGCCGUCCCUGGGCCUGGUCAGCUGUUGGUUGAUGGUGCUCUCGAACAGGCUCGUUGAAAGCAUUAUUAAAUACCGGUCGACGACGCUAUUGCUUUGGGUAC